CUCCAUUCCUUUUUGUUCUUCCCAUUUCCUUUUUUAGCAUUUCUUUUUGUUCUUCCCCUACUGAAUCUUUACUAUUUUUGGCCAUAGUUUUUUUACCAAUUUACCCUAAGAUUCCCCACUAUUUACAAAAAAUACCCUAAGAUUCUACCCUUUCCCACCCACUUUUACCCCACCCACCUUAUUUAAUUAAUUAACCUAACCCUACCCCCCCUCCCUUUAUUACCCGUCCCUAUCUCACAAUCCCUCCCUCACCUCUCAUUCUGAUUUCUCUCUCUCACCUCUUCGGAUCUCUCUCUCUCUCUUAUUUCACUCUCUCUCUCUCUUAAAAUUCCUCCCCUGUUCUUGAGAAAACCCUAGGUUUUCCGCCUCUGAUCUGGGUUUUCCUCUCCAAAUCUCGCAAAUCUGAAACGUUUUCGCAGAAAAACGUUCAUAAAAAUUACUCGGAAUCAUUUUCCGAUCAGAUCCCCUCUAUUUUUGUCCCCUUUUUGGUCCCUAAUCGUCGCUGAUCUCUGUUUUUCUGGUACUUUAUGGGUUCUUCUUUGUCUAGAACUCGAGGUGAUUCUGGGGUGGGAACUUCUGGUCAAAGAAUCCCCGAUUCCAACUGUGAUUGGGGAUCCAAGUGCAACUGUCCCAAUAACGAGCAUUCCUACUCCGCCGAAUAUAAAAACAAUCUGUAUUUGGCCCAAAAAGAAAAUACGAGUACUCGAAACUAUUUGGAAGAAUGGUUUCGGAAGAGGGAAGUGGAGCCAGGAGAGGAGGUUGAGUCAAAAUAUGACGAUCGGAAACCCACUCCCUCAGAUCUGCGUUUUUUUCGGUGAAGGAGAUUCCGAUGAGGAACCAAGUGGGUCUGAUUCAUUUGAUCUGGUGUAUGUUGGAGAGUGUGAAAAUGAGAAUGGUGAUGCUGUUGGGUCUCCAGGACAACUUUCAUCUGGUUAUCCCUCCUCAAAGAAAGGAGAAAAGAGAAAAAAAUCGGCUUCAGCAUCUGAUGAUGCUUAGAUAAGUCUGUCUCCUUUCUCCCUUUUUUCAUUUUAUUGAAUGCUGGCUAGCUGUGGAGUCAUAAGGUGGAUGCCAACAACUGUGAUCUGUUGUUGGCCAGGGGUGUUGUUGUUUGGAUGAUGAUGUUGUGAUUAGUUGUAUGGAUGUUGAUGUUAGAUAUUUUAAGUUAUGAUAUUGAUAUUGAUAAUGAUGAUUGGAUGAUGGUGUUUCCAUAUGGUUAUGAAAUUUUGUGGAAUGUUGUCUGUGUGAUGAACAUGAUUUGAUGGCUUAAUGUCCCCUGUUUUAUGGUAUGUUUUGUGUAUGAUAAAUAUGAUGCUUUGGUGAGUAUGAGAUUUGAUCAGUAUAACUAUGUUUUGGAUUAGUAAAGGCAUGAAAUGAAUAUAAUUUGGGGAUAGGGUUUGAGUUAUUUCAGUCCUCUCAGUGUGGCCUGGUGUUGAAUGCUUAAUGUCCAAGCAUGUCCCUUUAGGAUACAAUAAUGUCCCUUUAUUUAUUGUGAUCGAUGAUGAGUCUUUUUUUUGCUGAGGAACAAGUCCAACUAACCACAAAUGCUCGUGCUGCCAUUAGUAUCAGUAAUGAUAUUUCUCGGGCGCUAAGUGUUUGUGGUUUGGAGUUGUUUUAAUGAUGCUUGGGGACAUUCUGAGAUCAAUAUUAGGAGGUUUGUGAUCUUCAAUGAUGUGAUUGUUGAUAUUCUGAGAUCUUUGUUUUGAUAAUUGUCCUUUAACUUCUUUUGUCGAACGGAGUGAAUGUCAUUUCACACAAUGGAAUGUGAAUAUCAAUCAUUCCGUUCGGCAGAAGAAUGUUAAAGAUAUGAUAGUAUUGAAACUACUUGAUCAAUGAUGUGUGUCAAUAUGUCUGAGAAAUGAAACCCUACAUGUUAAUGAUCUGUUUAAUGCUUCAUGUCCCAUUAAUCAGUGGAGGUCUGUGAUGAGUCUUUCAUUUGAUGAGGUUCAAACCCUAUGUUUUGAUCAGUUCAUGGUGAUCUGAUGCAUUGUUGAUUGUUAUUGUUAUGCUUGAUCUGUGAUGAGUCUUUCAUUUGCUGAGACUCAAACCCAAUGUUCCAAUAACACUUGUGCACCAUUAGCAUCAUUGAUGCUCUUCCGGAGCUAAGUGUUAGGGGAUAGGGUUUGUGUCAAUGAUGCUUGGGGACAUUCUGAGAUCUUAUGUCAGGUUAGACAGGAGAGGCAAUUCAUGUCUUGCAAAACAUGUAUAAUGUGUUUCUGAUAUUCAAUGAUGUUAGUGUUGAUAUUCUGAGAUCUUUGUUUUGAUAAUUGUCCUUUAACUUCUUUUGUCGAACGGAGUGAAUGUCAUUUCACACAAUGGAAUGUGAAUAUCAAUCAUUCCAUUCGGCAGAAGAAUGUUAAAGAUAUGAUAGUAUUGAAACUACUUGAUCAAUGAUGUGUGUCAAUAUGUCUGAGAAAUGAAACCCUACAUGUUAAUGAUCUGUUUAAUGCUUCAUGUCCCAUGAAUCAGUGGAGGUCUGUGAUGAGUCUUUCAUUUGAUGAGGUUCAAACCCUAUGCUUUGAUCAGUUCAUGGUGAUCUGAUGCAUUGUUGAUUGUUAUUGUUAUGCUUGAUCUGUGAUGAGUCUUUCAUUUGCUGAGACUCAAACCCAAUGUUCCAAUAACACUUGUGUACCAUUAGCAUCAUUGAUGCUCUUCCGGAGCUAAGUGUUAGGGGAUAGGGUUUGUGUCAAUGAUGCUUGGGGACAUUCUGAGAUCUUA